GACGAACGCUGGCGGCGUGCUUAACACAUGCCAGUCGAACGGAAAGGCCCUGCUUUUGUGGGGUGCUCGAGUGGCGAACGGGUGAGUAACACGUGAGUAACCUGCCCUUGACUUUGGGAUAACUUCAGGAAACUGGGGCUAAUACCGGAUAGGAGCUCCUGCUGCAUGGUGGGGGUUGGAAAGUUUCGGCGGUUGGGGAUGGACUCGCGGCUUAUCAGCUUGUUGGUGGGGUAGUGGCUUACCAAGGCUUUGACGGGUAGCCGGCCUGAGAGGGUGACCGGCCACAUUGGGACUGAGAUACGGCCCAGACUCCUACGGGAGGCAGCAGUGGGGAAUAUUGCACAAUGGGCGGAAGCCUGAUGCAGCAACGCCGCGUGCGGGAUGACGGCCUUCGCGUUGUAAACCGCUUUCGCCUGUGACGAAGCGUGAGUGACGGUAAUGGGUAAAGAAGCACCGGCUAACUACGUG
rnacentral:rRNA from 1 species